UCGGGAAUUUUGGGCAAUGGGCGAAAGCCUGACCCAGCAACGCCGCGUGAAGGAUGAAGUAUUUCGGUAUGUAAACUUCGAAAGAAUAGGAAGAAUAAAUGACGGUACUAUUUAUAAGGUCCGGCUAACUACGUGCCAGCAGCCGCGGUAAUACGUAGGGACCAAGCGUUGUUCGGAAUUAUUGGGCGUAAAGGGCGCGUAGGCGGCCAGAUAAGUCCCGGGUGAAAUCCCUCGGCUCAACCGAGGAACUGCCUUGGAAACUGUCUGGCUCGAGGCCGGGAGAGGGUAGUGGAAUUCCCAGUGUAGCGGUGAAAUGCGUAGAUACUGGGAGGAACACCGGUGGCGAAGGCGGCUACCUGGACCGGUUCUGACGCUGAUGCGCGAAAGCGUGGGGAGCAAACAGGAUUAGAUACCCAAGUAGUCCCUGAGCGGGCUGGCAAGGCGCAU
rnacentral:rRNA from 1 species